rnacentral:rRNA from 1 species
GGACGAAAGUCUGACGCAGCAACGCCGCGUGAGGGAUGAAGGCCUUCGGGUUGUAAACCUCUUUUGUCAGGGACGAUGAUGACGGUACCUGACGAAUAAGCCACGGCUAACUACGUGCCAGCAGCCGCGGUAAUACGUAGGUGGCAAGCGUUGUCCGGAUUUACUGGGCGCAAAGAGCGCGCAGGCGGUCGAUCAAGUCGCGUGUGAAAGCCCCCGGCUCAACUGGGGAGGGUCACGCGAUACUGAUCGACUCGAAGGCAGGAGAGGGUAGUGGAAUUCCCGGUGUAGUGGUGAAAUGCGUAGAUAUCGGGAGGAACACCAGUGGCGAAGGCGACUACCUGGCCUGUUUCUUGACGCUGAGGCGCGAAAGCUAGGGGAGCAAACGGGAUUAGAUACCCCGGUAGUCCUAGCCGUAAACGAUGGACACUAGGUGUUGGUGGUAUCAACCCCGCCAGUGCCGAAGCUAACGCAUUAAGUGUCCCGCCUGGGGGGUACGGCCGCAAGGCUA